rnacentral:sRNA from 1 species
AUGUUGACUACAACAUUGUUUUCGUCGGCGACCACGGAUGUACUGGCGCAGUGGCUGAGAGCAAUGCAGGGAGGUCGGUGCGUGUAUUCGCUCCGGCCUUUUUUAUU